rnacentral:rRNA from 1 species
UACGUAGGGUGCAAGCGUUGCUCGGAAUUAUUGGGCGUAAAGGGUAGGUAGGUGGUCUCAUUUGUCUGGGGUGAAAGCCUUGAGCUUAACUCAAGAAGUGCCCCAGAAACGGUGAGACUAGAGUUCUGGAGAGGGUCGUGGAAUUCCCGGUGUAGCGGUGAAAUGCGUAGAGAUCGGGAGGAACACCAGAGGCGAAGGCGGCGACCUGGACAGAUACUGACACUCAACUACGAAAAGCGUGGGGGAGCAAACAGG